rnacentral:lncRNA from 1 species
UGUUUUCAUUUGUUCCUGCGCUCCGACGCUGCGCAAAAAGUGGCGACUUUCUAUGGGUGAGGAGGCUGCAAAGUUUCCAGACUGAGCUUCGAACCAGAGCUGCUGUUUCAGUGAAAUGAAGCGCCUCCGGCCGGAUUGAAGCCCCGCCGGGGUCCUCGGGGUCCGGCUGCUCCUGUCGCUCCCAGCGGCCUGUUCCACACGGCCUGGUCAGCGUCGAACAAACACCGCAGCAGCCGAGAGAGGAAUUCUGUCAUUACAACGGCUCACCAGAAUGGAUCGACUGUAUCCUGAUGUUUAGUGGAGGACUGGUUCGCACUGUACAGCAGCUGUUGUCACGUUCAUGCCAUGGGUUUUCCUUUUUUGUCUUUUCAUUGAACGUGUUAUUAGAUUUGAUGAUAUGAGCUGUUUUUAGACCAAUCCAAGACAUAUGACCAAGAAAGGAUUUUUAUAUUUUAUUUCAUUUUUUCAUUUUUAUAUAACCAGGGCUUUCCUGUCAUUGAGUCAAACUCAACACUGUAUGACCUCCGUGGUGGAGGAAAUAAAAGAUUCUGUUUUGUCUUAGAGCUCAGCUCCUCCUCUCGUCCAUUCAUUUCUCAAUA